rnacentral:rRNA from 1 species
UACGUAGGCAGCAAGCGUUGUUCGGAAUUACUGGGCGUAAAGGGCUCGUAGGCGGCCAACUAAGUCGGACGUGAAAUCCCCAGGCUCAACCUGGGAACUGCGUCCGAUACUGGAUGGCUUGAAUUCGGGAGAGGGAUGCAGAAUUCCAGGUGUAGCGGUGAAAUGCGUAGAUAUCUGGAGGAAUACCGGUGGCGAAGGCGGCAUCCUGGACCGACAUUGACGCUGAGGAGCGAAAGCUAGGGGAGCAAACGGG